CCCGUUGACAGACAAUAUCAACAGAUAUACUGCUAUAUAAUUAGACUCUAGACAACACCGUCUAGCUACAAUUCUCAAUAGUUGUAAUUAUUGGAAUAACUGCUGUAAUUAUAAAUUUAUGUGUAUUGUCUAGUGAUAAUAGCCGUUUAGACUUUCUGUAUUGAGCUGCAUACCUCUGACUCAUUUUAAAUUUCUUUCAGUGAGUGUGGUUUAACUAAAUUUUUUUAUCCAUGCAUUUAUAAAAUUAACAGCUCAACGGACGAUUUCCACUAAGUUUAAAAGGUCUCUAGUUGAUUUAUGAAAAAAUGGUAUCUCAUCAAAACUAAUUUUAAUUGAACAUCAUAAUACUUGAAGGUCAACUCCAAUAGGCGUCAAACUUUUCCAUAAAAGAAAUCGAUUAUUUUUGACAAUCUCUGUUUAAAUGGUUUGAUCGUGAUUCGUCAGUGUUUUGGAUUAAAUGUCGUACAUUUCCUGAAUACGUGCCUGUAAUCACAUCUUGUUACUUUAAAAUUCAGUUAUGAACGAUCAUUGGAAGUUUUCUUAUACUGACACAUUUUACAAUGUGUUUAAAGAGCUGAUAAUACUGUUUUUAAAAUUUCCAUCACUUUAUAAGUUGAGAACGAGAAUGAUAUAUCUUGUUUUAUUUUCAUUUGAUAGCAAAUAUAUAGAUCGAUAUCAGCUGUUAUCAAUGGAUUGCAAAUUUAAAAUACUUUGAAUUCUUCAGAUAGUGUAAUCUAGUAAAGUUCAAGAACCGUAUCUUUAGACAUAUUCUAUAACUUUUGUAAAUAAUAAAGAUAAAAUCAUUUUACCAUUUAAAAAUUUCUACUUUUUUUAGUUGAGAUAGCUUAUUUUUUGUGCAAAAAAAAAUUUAU